AAUUCCUCUGUAAUAUUUAUCUCCCACAUUUUCUAGAAACAAAGACCUAAACUUCAUUCUCAAAGAAGUUUGCUCCAUCUCUUCAAUUAAGCGCCCUUUCUAGAUUCUCCUCUCUUAUGUGAUAAUGCAAUUUAUGACCUAGAAAUUUCAUUCAUGCUAACCCUUAAGUCUAUAUGUUUGGUUGAAAAAUGUGUUGGGAUUUUGGUUUUUUCAGGAAAUGGAAAGAAAACAAGGUUUCUUCUCGGCAUAUAAGGAAGAGGUUGUGUGUGGGUUAUCGUCGGAAGUUCUUGAGCGAAGAUUCCGUUGAGAAGUGGGUCAUCCAUUACUAGUUUUAUUCGUAGGAAGAAGAUCUCGCUUCAUCAACUCUGUUUCAGUUAGCAACACUCAUAAUCCUAGUACUGGUGGUGGUGAUUUCCAUGACUUUACCAGAGCAUCACACAAUUUUAACAAGCUGAAAAUUAAAAGUUCUAUGUCUGAUCAAGAACAUGCGGAAGCUCAAAUGGCCAUAGUGGUGAUGCAGGCGACAAUCUUUACUUGAAAUCUUCUAAAUAGGGAAAUCAAGUUUCCUGUAUAUUAAGGUAAAAGUUAUAAGAUUUAUUUUCUUAUCAGUGAAUAAUUUUGAACUUAAAAAAUUAGCACUUACGAAUUUUUUUUAUCGAAUUUGUUGUAAAAAAACACAAAUCUCUUAUGCUUUUGAACUUUUGGACUUGGUAUCUCAAAUGUUUUAAACUUUCAGUUUCUAAAUAUCAUGUAAAUUUGUUAAGCCAUUUUAGUUUUCAUUUGCUGCAGAAUGACUUUUUCAAAACCUACAAAUGUAUCACCCAAUAAAAUAGUUUAACAUUGUAUUACUGCUUACAUCUUCAUUAGUUUUUACUUUUGAUAUAUCUCAAUCCAGCUAGUUGUCCUGGCUCUCGGUACUUUGAGAAUCUGUAUAACUACUACACAACCGAAAAGGUUCUCUCACUUUUGAAUCACAGAAUCUUUAUUCCAUUUAUACAAAAUGGUCAUCAAUUUUUGACUCUUAAGAUGGUGUAGUUGAUGCUUUAUCCUUCAAUUUCUACUAUGUCGGUAGGCUGACAGUGAAUGCUACAUUUAUUAUUUUGUAAGUAAUACGAUUUACUUAUUUAGUUUGUAUAAAUGCUAGCAUCUUGGUUUAAUUGUCGGACUAUAUAAUGAUUAUUUCAUGAUAAUGCUUUCAUAUAGACUCAACACUGCAUCGGAAGUUGAUAUGAUUAACUUGCUAUGUACAUGUAUCUAAUGACUGGAUGUUGCCUUUAUAUCCAAUUAAUAGAAAACUACGCCGUAAUCAUAGGUCAUCAGUAGUAAGGGCUACAUUCCAUUUCAUGACGGUGAAAAGACAUCAUACACUUGGAUGAAGGCAUGGUCUUGUUAAGGAGAUCGACCAUCUAUCCUUACUUUGCAUUCUUAUGCCAGAGUUUCACCAUUUUGAUUUUGGAGCGAUUUCCUCUAUGAUGAAUUUGGAGAGUUAACAGAAAGAAAAUAGUGGAAACAACCUUGCAUUAUGUAACAAGUCGAAAGAAAAUGUUGUAAUGAGAAUAUUGGUACUUCAUUACUGUCUACAGACUCAGCUUCUGAUGUCUAAUUGUGGAGAAGCAACAUUAUCUUCUUCAAAGCGGCAAAUGGUGGCUUUAUGAUGAAUUCAAAUAAUAAUCCUGGUAGUCAGAGUGCUUCUCAGAUGGAAACCAUCAUAUUGUCCCUGUCUUCUUCACAGUGAUUCCUCUAUGCUUAACUCUGAUAUUUUUAUCUCAAGGUCUACAGCCACAAUAAUAUUUCACCUGUUGAUGCAAGUAGCGCACAAACUGUAAGAGCAAAAAAUAUUCCACAUUCUUCAGGGUCAACUCAUGAUUUGGUUCUUCAAAAGGGAAAUGGAGGUGAUCAAAUUUGAAGGGUCUCGACAAGUCAAUUUGAGCUCAUUGAAGUGGCUGAUGAAGUAUUUUUGAACCAUUGUAAAAGUUUGAAUACAUUAUGUUUGAUUUUGUGAAAUAUAUUCUUUGCUAGAAUAUAUUGAACUAUUGUAAGAGUGCUUUUCGAACAAUUGUUUACACAUUUAGAAUAUUGUUGUAUAAGUAUGUGCAAGUACACAAGACGUACUCUCUUCUGAUGUUUAUUGCAAAUCUAUAUAUUUGAAUUACUUA